GUGCAGUUAGUAUAGCGGUAGUACUCUCGCCCCGCAAACGCGACUGCUGGGCCCUAAGAAGUCGUCGCGGCGAGCAACCCGGGUUCGACUCCCGGACUGUACA